AUUGAACGCUGGCGGCAGGCCUAACACAUGCAAGUCGAACGAGUGGCGGACGGGUGAGUAAUAUCUGGGAAACUGCCCGAUGGAGGGUGAUAACUACUGGAAACGGUAGCUCAUACCGCAUACCAUCGGAUGUGCCCAGAUGUGAUUCGCUAGUAGGUGGUGUAAAGGCUCACCUAGGCGACGAUCCCUAGCUGGGCUGAUAGGAUGACAAGCCACACUGGAACUGAGACACGGUCCAGACUCCUACGGGAGGCAGCAGUGGGGAAUAGUGCACAAGGGGCGCAAGCCUGAUGCAGCCAUGCCGCGUGUAUGAAGAAGGCCUGCGGGUUGUAAAGUACUUUCAGCGGGGAGGCGUUACCCGCAGAAGAAGCACCGGCUAACUCCGUGCCAGCAGCCGCGGUAAUAC
rnacentral:rRNA from 1 species